GCCAACACUGUCGUGCCCCAGCAACGACGGGACAAAGUUCUGGACACAUGAAUGGAUCAAACAUGGCACCUGCUCCGAGUCCGAACUUGACCAGCAUGAAUACUUUGAGGCAGCUCUCAAAUUGAAAGACAAAAUUAAUCUCCUCAAAAUUCUUAAUAAUGCAGGUAAUACUAAUUAAUUUCAUUCCAAAAAUUUUUCUAUGUAAAAUGAUAUAUAUAUUUGUUAUAUAAUUCUUUUAAAAUUGUUACAGGAAUUGAAGCAGAUGAUGGGUUCUACGAAUUGGAUGAAAUUAGGAAAGCAAUAGAAGAGGAAAGUGGAGUUAGUGUUGGAAUAGAAUGCAAUGUGGAUUCAUAUGGGAAUAGUCAACUGUACCAGAUUUACAUGUGCGUUGACACCUCUGGCUCUCAGUUCAUACAAUGCCCAUUGCUACCAAGACAUAGAUGUGGCUCCUCUAUCCAAUUUCCCAAGUUUUAGGUCUCUUGUGUUUUCCCUUAUAUACAUACAUACAUAUAUAUAUAUAUAUGUAUCUAUUCACAAUCCCAACUUCUAUUGACUCACAUAAUUCCUACUUUAUAUAUAUAUAUAUAUAUAUAUAUAUAUAUGUUUGAGGAUGAAUAAUAGAUUAUUGUUGAAAAUAAUAAUUUGAAAAUUAAUGGAACUCAUUGUCUUACUAAUAAGUUAAUCUAUUUCUUUUAAGUUUUUUUAACUGAUUUAUGUAUUAAAAUUAAAUACAUGUUUUUACCGUUUUUUUUAUAUGAUUUACGUAUUGAAUUUAGAUAUGAUGGUUAAAAAUUUUUUAUUUUAUUUAAAAGUUAAGAGUUUAAAACUCACUAAAAACAUAAAACUCAAUUUUGUAGGUGCAUCAUGAAUGUAUUAAUGGAACUGUAAUGACUAAAUAUUAGUAUAUUGGUAGAGUUGUGAUGACUAAGUUAAAUUAAAUCUCAACGAGUGUAUUAUAUUUUUUUAUGAAAGUAGUAUUUUAUAAAGUCACAAUGACCAAUAUAUAAUGUUUGAUUCAUUUGAAUUGAAAACUUAACUUAUUAAUAUAUUAAUAAGUCACGAUAAUUAAGAACUAGUAUAUUAGUAAAAUUGCAGUUGCUAAAUUAAGUUAAGUCUCAUCGAGUUUUAUUACAUCUCUGGACAAAAGUAAUAUUUUGUUAUAUUACAGUAACCAAAUUGAGUUAAAUAUAAGUGAUUUUAUUACAUUUUUUGACAAAAAAAAAUUAUGUAAAACUAUUAUAACUAAGUUGAGUUAAGUCUUCUUGCAUUUAUUAUAUUUUUAGAUGAAAAUAAUAUUCGAUGGUAAGCACGAUAUAUUAAGAAUAUGAUCUACUUUUUUAAGUUAAAACACUUUUAUUAUAUAUAUUUAACUAUAUUGUUCGUAUAUAUAAAGUUGAUAAUUAAAAAUAUAUCAAAGGAUUGUUGGAGAGUGGAAAGUUUAAAUAAAAUCACAAUCAACCUAAUGAAUUUUUAUUACAUUUUUUGACAAAAAAAAAUUAUGUAAAACUAUUAUAACUAAGUUGAGUUAAGUCUUCUUGCAUUUAUUAUAUUUUUAGAUGAAAAUAAUAUUCGAUGGUAAGCACGAUAUAUUAAGAAUAUGAUCUACUUUUUUAAGUUAAAACACUUUUAUUAUAUAUAUUUAACUAUAUUGUUCGUAUAUAUAAAGUUGAUAAUUAAAAAUAUAUCAAAGGAUUGUUGGAGAGUGGAAAGUUUAAAUAAAAUCACAAUCAACCUAAUGAAUUUUUAUAAUUUUGAAAACAUUUUUUUUUUUUUGGCAAUCUUACAAUUACAUUUGAGUAAGAAUUUAAAAAUAAGUUUCACUUUAUUUAUUAAUUUAUUCCAAAACAUAAACAAUUUAUAGAAUUAAGUAAGCAUGGUUUGCUAUUAAUAAAUAAAUAUUACGAGUUUAUAAACAAAAUGCAUAGAUUAAUACUUGAUACUUUAGGAACAAAUUUUUUUAAUCUAUAUAUUUAUAAAAUAAAAUUAGUAAAUCACUAAGUUUAAAUUCAUAUAAUUAUAUAUCGUAAAAUAAAAUUAGUUAUUUUUUAAUAUUAAAUUAAAUUUUAAAUACGUUAUGAUUAUUUCAAUUAAGUAAAUUUAUAAUUAAAGAUGAAUACUUGUUUUUUUUUCUGUUCAUUGUUCAUCUCAAUGUCUUUUUUUACACAAAUUAUUAGAAAUUCAUAUAUUAAUAUAUAAUUCAUAUAUAAAUAUUAAUUAGUUAAUUUUUAAAUAUUAAUAUAUAUAUAACAACACAUACAAUCACGUUAAUAAAUAACGAAUGUAAAAAUUUAUACGGCAUAAAUAUUUUUUGUAAAUUGAAUACAAACAAAUAUGAUUGAAAUGAUAAAAACCUACACAUAACAACCAUAAUUUAUUAAACAUUACAUUUAAAGCUAUCAGAGCUUAUAAUAAUACCCACAAGCAACUUCAAAAGACAUUUAAUAAACCAAAUAAGAUAAGAACUUGAAGCUUCCCAUACACGUAAAAAUAAAAAUUUAUAGUUGCGGAAUCGAAAAUGUAAGUAUAAUUUAUUUAAUUAUGCUUUAAAAUAUAUAUGUAUUAUGAUUAAAUAAUGAUGGAAUAAUAUAUUUUAUAUCUGUUUCUUUUAUAAAAUAAUAAUAAUAAUAAUAAUGAAAUAAGAACGAGGAAGAACGUGUGAACCAGGGUUUUGGAGAUGCAUGUACGUAAUGACAAUAAAAUAGUAACUUGCAAGCUUGGCGACCGCGUAGCUUCUGCUUCUCGCAUAUUCCUAUGACAGAUCCUUCAGCAUUUUUUUUCCCAUAAAUCCUCUGCUAGCGUAUAUAUGUGUGUGUGUGUGUGUGUGUGUAGCAUCCUGUCUCAUCUUCAAAACUCAACGAGCAAGAUUCUGUAAAGAAAAAAGAUAUGAAGCUCAACUAUUCCGCCAUUGUCAACCUUCUCAUCAUAUUACAAUUUCUAUCACUAGAUUGUUUCUCUCUCAGUCAGGACUUUGAUUUCUUCUACUUUGUUCAACAGGUACACCUAUAUAUAUAUGUGUGUGUGUGUGUGUGUGUCUAGUUAAUUGUGUAUGUAUAUGAUAUGAUAUGAUAUGAUAUGAUGUAUGUAUAUGUGCAUACAGUGGCCGGGAUCAUAUUGUGACACAAAGCAUAGCUGUUGCUAUCCGAAAUCUGGAAAGCCAGCUGCUGAUUUUGGGAUUCACGGACUUUGGCCUAACUACAACGACGGCUCCUACCCAUCAAACUGUAAUCCUGAUAGCGUCUUUGACAAAUCUCAGGUAUUAUAUCUACAUACCAAUAUUCUAUCUAUCUGUACAUAUAUAUAUAUAUAUAUAUGCAUAUAUUUAUUAUAGCCUUUAUGGGGUGCCUAACCUUUGAAUCUCUAUCUGUGUAUAUAUAUAUAUGUAUAUAUAUGUAUAUGCAUAUAUGUGGUAUACAAUCUAAAUGUUUAUUUGAACGUGCCCUUAAUCGUAGUAUUGUAACUAUGUUAAGAAUAAUAUUUCAUUUCCAAAUUUCAUCUCAACUACUUGUAUAUAUAAAUGCCUAUUUGAGCCUUGAAUAUUGCAGUAAAUACUAAUUGCUCAUCUGGGUUUACUCUAACAUAGCUGAUUUUUAUAUGCGUAUAAAUAUAUGAGUUUAAUAAUACGUGGGUAUGUAUGUAUGUAUGUAUGUAUGUAUAUAUAUUGUGGUAUAUAUUGGUAGAUCUCAGACCUGAAAAGCAGUUUGGAAAAGAAUUGGCCAACACUGUCGUGUCCCAGCAACGACGGUACAAAGUUCUGGACACAUGAAUGGGUCAAACAUGGCACCUGCUCCGAGUCCGAACUUGACCAACGUGAAUACUUUGAGGCAGCUCUCAAAUUGAAAGACAAAAUUAAUCUCCUCAAAAUUCUUAAUAUUGCAGGUAAUACUAAUUAAUUUUAUUUAUGUAAUAUAAUAUUUCUUUUAUAUGUCUAUAUAUAUAUUUAUAGUUUAAAUUGUUACAGGA
rnacentral:lncRNA from 1 species